rnacentral:rRNA from 1 species
CGUCGACCGGCGCACGGGUGAGUAUCGCGUAUCCAACCUGCCUAUUACUUGAGAAUACCCCGUUGAAAGGCGGUCUAAUACUCAAUACUUUCAUAAAUUGGCAUCAUAUUAUGAAAAAAGAUUUAUCGGUAAUAGAUGGGGAUGCGUCUGAUUAGUUAGUUGGUGAGGUAACGGCUCACCAAGGCAACGAUCAGUAGGGGUUCUGAGAGGAAGGUCCCCCACAUUGGAACUGAGACACGGUCCAAACUCCUACGGGAGGCAGCAGCC